rnacentral:rRNA from 1 species
GCAUAAUCUCUACGGAGAAAAGCAGGGGAUCGCAAGACCUUGCGCUUUUGGAGCGGCCGAUGUCUGAUUAGCUAGUUGGUGAGGUAAAGGCUUACCAAGGCGUCGAUCAGUAGCUGGUCUGAGAGGACGACCAGCCACACUGGGACUGAGACACGGCCCAGACUCCUACGGGAGGCAGCAGUGGGGAAUUUUGGACAAUGGGGGAAACCCUGAUCCAGCCAUGCCGCGUGAGUGAAGAAGGCCUUCGGGUUGUAAAGCUCUUUCAGCCGGAACGAAACGGUCACAGCUAAUACCUGUGACUACUGACGGUACCGGAAGAAG